UACGGAGGGUGCGAGCGUUGUCCGGAAUCAUUGGGCGUAAAGAGCUUGUAGGCGGUUUGUCGCGUCUGCCGUGAAAAUUCGAGGCUCAACCUCGAACUUGCGGUGGGUACGGGCAGACUAGAGUGUGGUAGGGGAGACUGGAAUUCCUGGUGUAGCGGUGAAAUGCGCAGAUAUCAGGAGGAACACCUGUGGUGUAGACAGCUUACUGGACGGUGACUGACGCUGAGGCACGAAAGCGUGGGUAGCAAACAGG
rnacentral:rRNA from 1 species